UGCCUUUGUGUUGCCCAUUCAUUGCCCACUCCAGAUGAAUGAGGUGUCAGACAAGGCACACAUUAAUUCUUGCACGGGCUUACUUUAAGGGCACAAACUGUGUUCCCUGUGUAAAUGUUCCUAGCAAGUACAAUA
ensembl:snoRNA